AUUGUUCGCAAUGGGCGCAAGCCUGACGACGCAACGCCGCGUGGAGGAUGAAGAUCUUCGGGUCGUAAACUCCUUUCGAUCGAGACGAACGGCCUCCGGGUGAACAACCCGGAGGAGUGACGGUACCGAGAGAAGAAGCCCCGGCUAACUCCGUGCCAGCAGCCGCGGUAAUACGGGGGGGGCAAGCGUUGUUCGGAAUUACUGGGCGUAAAGGGCUCGUAGGUGGCCAACUAAGUCGGACGUGAAAUCCCUCGGCUCAACCGGGGAAUGGCGUCCGAUACUGGAUGGCUCGAGUUUGGGAGAGGGAUGCGGAAUUCCAGGUGUAGCGGUGAAAUGCGUAGAUAUCUGGAGGAACACCGGUGGCGAAGGCGGCAUCCUGGACCAAUACUGACACUGAGGAGCGAAAGCCAGGGGAGCAAACGGG
rnacentral:rRNA from 1 species